AUUGAAUGCUGGCGGCAGGCCUAACACAUGCAAGUCGAGCGGAGCGGCGGACGGGUGAGUAAUGCCUAGGAAUCUGCCUGGUAGCGGUGGAUAACGUCCGGAAACGGGCGCUAAUACCGCAUACUAUCAGAUGAGCCUAGGCAGGAUUAGCGAGUUGGUGGGGUAACGGCCUACCAAGGCGACGAUCCGUAACGGGUCUGAGAGGAUGAUCAGUAACACUGAAAGUGAGACAGGGUCCAGACGCCUACGGGAGGAGGCAGUGGAGACAUUUGGACAGUGGGCAAAAGCGUGAACCAGCCAUGCCGCGUGUGUGAAGAAGGUCUUCGGAUUAUAAAGCACUUUAAGUUGGGAGACGUUACCGACAGAAAAAGCACCGGCUAACUUCGUGCCAGCAGCCGCGGUAAUUC
rnacentral:rRNA from 1 species